UUAAGCGACUAAGCGUACACGGUGGAUGCCCUGGCAGUCAGAGGCGAUGAAGGACGUGCUAAUCUGCGAAAAGCGUCGGUAAGGUGAUAUGAACCGUUAUAACCGGCGAUGUCCGAAUGGGGAAACCCAGUGCAAUUCGUUGCACUAUCGUUAACUGAAUACAUAGGUUAACGAGGCGAACCGGGGGAACUGAAACAUCUAAGUACCCGAGGAAAGAAAUCAACCGAGAUUCCCCAGUAGCGGCGAGCGAACGGGAGCAGCCAGAGUCUGAAUCAGCUUGUGUGUUAGUGGAACGGUCUGGAAAGUCCGACGGUACAGGGUGAUAGUCCCGUACACCAAAAUGCACAGGCUGUGAACUCGAAGAGUAGGGCGGGACACGUGGUAUCCUGUCUGAAUAUGGGGGGACCAUCCUCCAAGGCUAAAUACUCCUGACUGACCGAUAGUGAACCAGUACCGUGAGGAAAGGCGAAAAGAACCCCGGCGAGGGAGUGAAAAGAACCUGAAACCGUGUACGUACAAGCAGUGGGAGCACCUUCGGGUGUGACUGCGUACCUUUUGUAUAAUGGGUCAGCGACUUAUAUUCUGUAGCAAGGUUAACCGUAUAGGGGAGCCGCAGGGAAACCGAGUCUUAACUGGGCGUUAAGUUGCAGGGUAUAGACCCGAAACCCGGUGAUCUAGCCAUGGGCAGGUUGAAGGUUGGGUAACACUAACUGGAGGACCGAACCGACUAAUGUUGAAAAAUUAGCGGAUGACUUGUGGCUGGGGUGAAAGGCCAAUCAAACCGGGAGAUAGCUGGUUCUCCCGAAAGCUAUUUAGGUAGCGCCUCGUGAACUCAUCUUCGGGGUAGAGCACUGUUUCGGCUAGGGUCAUCCCGACUUACCAACCCGAUGCAAACUACGAAUACCGAAGAAUGUUAUCACGGGAGACACACGGCGGGUGCUAACGUCCGUCGUGAAGAGGGAAACAACCCAGACCGCCAGCUAAGGUCCCAAAGUCAUGGUUAAGUGGAAACGAUGUGGGAAGGCACAGACAGCCGGAUGUUGGCUUAGAAGCAGCCAUCAUUUAAAGAAAGCGUAAUAGCUCACUGGUCGAGUCGGCCUGCGCGGAAGAUGUAACGGGCUAAACCAUGCACCGAAGCUGCGGCAGCGACACUAUGUGUUGUUGGGUAGGGGAGCGUUCUGUAAGCCUGCGAAGGUGACCUGUGAGGGUUGCUGGAGGUAUCAGAAGUGCGAAUGCUGACAUAAGUAACGAUAAAGCGGGUGAAAAGCCCGCUCGCCGGAAGACCAAGGGUUCCUGUCCAACGUUAAUCGGGGCAGGGUGAGUCGACCCCUAAGGCGAGGCCGAAAGGCGUAGUCGAUGGGAAACAGGUUAAUAUUCCUGUACUUGGUGUUACUGCGAAGGGGGGACGGAGAAGGCUAUGUUAGCCGGGCGACGGUUGUCCCGGUUUAAGCAUGUAGGCUGAUUGUCCAGGCAAAUCCGGAUAAUCAAGGCUGAGGUGUGAUGACGAGGCACUACGGUGCUGAAGUAACAAAUGCCCUGCUUCCAGGAAAAGCCUCUAAGCAUCAGGUAACAUUAAAUCGUACCCCAAACCGACACAGGUGGUCAGGUAGAGAAUACCAAGGCGCUUGAGAGAACUCGGGUGAAGGAACUAGGCAAAAUGGUGCCGUAACUUCGGGAGAAGGCACGCUGGUGUGUAGGUGAAGCCCCUGCGGGUGGAGCUGAGACCAGUCGAAGAUACCAGCUGGCUGCAACUGUUUAUUAAAAACACAGCACUGUGCAAACACGAAAGUGGACGUAUACGGUGUGACGCCUGCCCGGUGCCGGAAGGUUAAUUGAUGGGGUUAUCCGUAAGGAGAAGCUCUUGAUCGAAGCCCCGGUAAACGGCGGCCGUAACUAUAACGGUCCUAAGGUAGCGAAAUUCCUUGUCGGGUAAGUUCCGACCUGCACGAAUGGCGUAAUGAUGGCCAGGCUGUCUCCACCCGAGACUCAGUGAAAUUGAACUCGCUGUGAAGAUGCAGUGUACCCGCGGCAAGACGGAAAGACCCCGUGAACCUUUACUAUAGCUUGACACUGAACAUUGAGCCUUGAUGUGUAGGAUAGGUGGGAGGCUUUGAAGCGUGGACGCCAGUCUGCGUGGAGCCAACCUUGAAAUACCACCCUUUAAUGUUUGAUGUUCUAACGUUGGCCUGACCGGGGUUGCGGACAGUGUCUGGUGGGUAGUUUGACUGGGGCGGUCUCCUCCCAAAGCGUAACGGAGGAGCACGAAGGUUAGCUAAUCCUGGUCGGACAUCAGGAGGUUAGUGCAAUGGCAUAAGCUAGCUUGACUGCGAGCGUGACGGCGCGAGCAGGUGCGAAAGCAGGUCAUAGUGAUCCGGUGGUUCUGAAUGGAAGGGCCAUCGCUCAACGGAUAAAAGGUACUCCGGGGAUAACAGGCUGAUACCGCCCAAGAGUUCAUAUCGACGGCGGUGUUUGGCACCUCGAUGUCGGCUCAUCACAUCCUGGGGCUGAAGUAGGUCCCAAGGGUAUGGCUGUUCGCCAUUUAAAGUGGUACGCGAGCUGGGUUUAGAACGUCGUGAGACAGUUCGGUCCCUAUCUGCCGUGGGCGCUGGAGAAUUGAGGGGGGCUGCUCCUAGUACGAGAGGACCGGAGUGGACGCAUCACUGGUGUUCGGGUUGUCAUGCCAAUGGCACUGCCCGGUAGCUAAAUGCGGAAGAGAUAAGUGCUGAAAGCAUCUAAGCACGAAACUUGCCCCGAGAUGAGUUCUCCCUGAGACUUUAAGUCUCCUGAAGGAACGUUGAAGACGACGACGUUGAUAGGCCGGGUGUGUAAGCGCAGCGAUGCGUUGAGCUAACCGGUACUAAUGAACCGUGAGGCUUAACCU
rnacentral:rRNA from 1 species